UCUUUGCAAAUUCCAACAAUUAGCGGUUAAGUACUUGCCUCUAUAAAAUGUAUAUUUACCCAACACUUGUGAAGGUGACAGGCAUUCUGUUACCAAAUGACCGUGGCCUUGACAAUUACUGCACCAUACAUUGGUCCUAGUAUUAGUUGGCUUUUGCCUCUUCUCCUUAUCUUUGGCCAUAAUAACGGCCAUUUCCUCCAUUUUCUUUGUCAAG
rnacentral:lncRNA from 1 species